rnacentral:rRNA from 1 species
UACAGAGGUCUCAAGCGUUGUUCGGAUUCAUUGGGCGUAAAGGGUGCGUAGGUGGCGCGGUAAGUCGGGUGUGAAAUCUCGGAGCUUAACUCCGAAAUUGCAUUCGAUACUGCCGUGCUCGAGGACUGGAGAGGAGACUGGAAUUUACGGUGUAGCAGUGAAAUGCGUAGAUAUCGAGAGGAACACCUGCGGCGAAGGCGGGUUGCUGGGCUGACACUGACGCUGAUGCGCGAAAGCCAGGGGAGCGAACGGG